UUUGAUAUUGGUUUGUUGUAGACCCAUCCCCAGUAACGUCAACCUGCAAAAGGAAAGUACAGUCAGCAUGUCCUUCACACUAGAAGGUCACGGAGAUCAUUACGUUAAACUUUUCAUGCGACGGCGUAGAGGUUGGGCGAGAACGACACGUGUUACCUCAUUAUCAAGCAGGUAAAAUACCGCAAGGCUUAAGAGGUGAGGGUGAGAAAAAAAAUCGUAUGAAAGGACAGAGAAAAGGCCAUAGAAAUCAGUCGGGUGAGUAUCUCCGACACGGCAACAACUGCUGUGCACUAUUUGUCACCAGCCUUCUUCAUCGUAUUGCUAGUUUGCAAUCAUUGUUAACUGUGUUGUGCUGCUGUUGGGAGUUGUAUCGUUGAUGGCUGGGUCGACCACUGGUGUACCUGGGUAUGGCAUAUACCAAACCUCAACGCCACCGCCUUACUACACACCAACAUAUGCAACAACAGGUUACCAACAUAUACACCACCAAGGCUCCAGAGUAUUACCCCACAACUUGUGAUGCCCUGAGCUACUACACCGAAGCCUGAAGUAUAACUCUGCCCCAAGCUGCAUCACCAAAGAGCCGGAGUACUACACCGAGGUUCCCAAGUAUUACACCACUAAGGCACCGGAAUACUUCUCGACUACGUAUGCUGCUCCUGCCUACUACACCGAGGGUCCUAAUUAAUACCAUACCCAAAGACUACACUACAACCUACGCUGCCCCGAGCUACUACACCGACGUCCCGAAGUAUUACUCUGCGUUAAAGGAGUGGUCUUAAAAAAAGAAGUCGUAUAAAAGGAGAAAUAAAAGUUGGUAUAAAUCCGUCAAGUGAGGACACGGCAAUAACUGCAGCGCACUAUUUGUCCCCAACUGCUUCUUCAUCGUAUUACCAGUUAGCAAUCAUGGUUAACUAUAGUGUCGUGCUGCUGUUGGGUGUUUCGAGCAAAAGUGUAUCGUUAACGGCUGGGUCGACCACUGGUAUACCGAUGUCUCCUGGGAAUGGCGGAUACCAAGCCGCAACGCCUACACUGCAACAACUUACGCAACGACAAGUUACUACACCACUAAGGCACCGGAGUGUUAUACCACAACUUACGCUGCUCCGAACUAUUACACCGACGCCCCGAAGUAUUACUCUGCCCCGAGUUGCUACACCACCAAGGAACCAGAGUACGACACGACUAUGUAUGCUGCCCCCCCAUCCUACUAUACCGAGACUGCCAAGUACUACUCUGUUCUCAACUACUUACUACACCGAUGCGCAUAAGUACUGCCCUGUUCCCAGCUACUACACCGAGGCUUAUUGCUCACCAAAACGGUCGAAUACUACACUGAAGCGCCAAACUACUACUCUGCCUCGAUCUACGCAACCACAACCGGCCAGGUAUUACGCAGCCACGACUUACUACAUUGAAGCUAAGUAUCUUCGUACUACGUUGAACCGAACCGAACGUUUUCCGAUUCCGCUGGCUCGGUAAAAUUGUGGUGAUGCAAAGUAACAGAUUCUCUGUCAGGACGAUAUUGGAUGACGUUACGUAACAAAAAGGUUCACAUCUUGACAAAGUUUUAAGUAAGAACUCUCUCUUUCGAGUAUUUAUGUAAUUAGCCACCUUUUAUUUCCACAAGCACGAUAAUAACUAAUUAUUAUCAAUAUAUUUUUGUAUUAACCAACUUUUUCCCAAAAUAUAAAUGUCAUUUCCUUCA